rnacentral:rRNA from 1 species
CGGGUGAGUAACGCGUGAGUAACCUGCCUUACACAAGGGGAUAGCCGUUGGAAACGACGAAUAAUACCCUAUGACAUAAACUCUUCGCAUGAGGAGCUUAUCAAAGAUUUAUCAGUGUAAGAUGGACUCGCGUCUGAUUAGCUAGUUGGUGAGGUAACGGCCCACCAAGGCGACGAUCAGUAGCCGGCUUGAGAGAGUGUACGGCCACAUUGGGACUGAGACACGGCCCAGACUCCUACGGGAGGCAGCAGA